rfam:Triticum aestivum genome assembly, contig: Triticum_aestivum_CS42_TGACv1_scaffold_220750_3B
GAUAUACUCCCUCCGUCCCAAAAUUCUUGUCUUAAAAAUGUCUAGAUACGAAUGUAUCUAAUACUAAAAUGUGACUUGAUACAUCCAUCUUUAGACAAAUCUAAGACAAGAAUUUUGGGACGGAGGGACUAUUUU